UGUCAGAAGUGGGAUUCGAACCCACGCCCACAUUCGUGGACCAGAACACUCGGCUCUGCCACAGAGCAAGAUUACUCUUGAGUCUGGCGCCUUAGACCGCUCGGCCAUCCUGAC
rnacentral:tRNA from 13 species